AACGCACCUUGCGCUCCUUGGUAUUCCGAGGAGCAUGCCUGUUUGAGUGUCAUAAAUUCUUCAACUUACAAGUCCUUUGUUGGGUUUGUAGGCUUGGAAUUGGAGGCUUUGUUGGCCGUUUCAUCGGUCGGCUCCUCUCAAAUGCAUUAGCUUGAUUCCUUGCGGAUCGGCCGUCAGUGUGAUAACAUCUACGCCGCGACCAUGAAGUGUGUUGUUGGCAAGCUUCUAACCGUCUUAUUUUGAGACAAACUCUUAUGACCUCUGACCUCAAAUCAGGUAGGACUACCCGCUGAACUUAA
rnacentral:misc_RNA from 1 species